UGGGGAAUAUUGCACAAUGGGCGCAAGCCUGAUGCAGCCAUGCCGCGUGUAUGAAGAAGGCCUUCGGGUUGUAAAGUACUUUCAGCGGGGAGGAAGGGAGUAAAGUUAAUACCUUUGCUCAUUGACGUUACCCGCAGAAGAAGCACCGGCUAACUCCGUGCCAGCAGCCGCGGUAAUACGGAGGGUGCAAGCGUUAAUCGGAAUUACUGGGCGUAAAGCGCACGCAGGCGGUUUGUUAAGUCAGAUGUGAAAUCCCCGGGCUCAACCUGGGAACUGCAUCUGAUACUGGCAAGCUUGAGUCUCGUAGAGGGGGGUAGAAUUCCAGGUGUAGCGGUGAAAUGCGUAGAGAUCUGGAGGAAUACCGGUGGCGAAGGCGGCCCCUGGACGAAGACUGACGCUCAGGUGCGAAAGCGUGGGGAGCAAACA
rnacentral:rRNA from 1 species